GACGUAGGGCGCGAGCGUUUGUCCGGAUUUAUUGGGCGUAAAGAGCUCGUAGGCGGCUUGUCGCGUCGUCCGUGAAAACCCACGGCUUAACUGUGGGCUUGCGGUCGAUACGGGCAGGCUGGAGUUCGGUAGGGGAGACUGGAAUUCCUGGUGUAGCGGUGAAAUGCGCAGAUAUCAGGAGGAACACCGGUGGCGAAGGCGGGUCUCUGGGCCGAUAUUGACGCUGAGGAGCGAAAGCGUGGGGAGCGAACAGG
rnacentral:rRNA from 1 species